rnacentral:rRNA from 1 species
GACGAACGCUGGCGGCGUGCUUAACACAUGCAAGUCGAACGGAAAGGCCCUGCUUGCAGGGUACUCGAGUGGCGAACGGGUGAGUAACACGUGGGUGAUCCGCCCUGCACUUCGGGAUAAGCCUGGGAAACUGGGUCUAAUACCGGAUAGGAGCCAUUUUUAGUGUGAUGGUUGGAAAGUUUUUUCGGUGUAGGAUGAGCUCGCGGCCUAUCAGCUUGUUGGUGGGGUAAUGGCCUACCAAGGCGGCGACGGGUAGCCGGCCUGAGAGGGUGGACGGCCACAUUGGGACUGAGAUACGGCCCAGACUCCUACGGGAGGCAGCAGUGGGGAAUAUUGCACAAUGGGCGCAAGCCUGAUGCAGCGACGCCGCGUGGGGGAUGACGGCCUUCGGGUUGUAAACUCCUUUCGCUAGGGACGAAGCUUUUUGUGACGGUACCUAGAUAAGAAACACCGGCUAACUACGU